AAGGCCUUAAGUUAAGCGUCAAACUAAUAACCUUCAAAGCUAUAAAUAAAGGGUCUAUCCUUUAGGCCUUG
rnacentral:tRNA from 1 species